CCUCGGGAGGCAGCAGUGAGGAAUAUUGGACAAUGGACGAAAGUCUGAUCCAGCCAUGCCGCGUGCAGGAUGACGGCCCUAUGGGUUGUAAACUGCUUUUAUACAGGAAGAAACACUCCCACGUGUGGGGGCUUGACGGUACUGUACGGAUAAGGAUCGGCUAACUCCGUGCCAGCAGCCGCGGUAAUACGGAGGAUCCAAGCGUUAUCCGGAAUUAUUGGGUUUAAAGGGUCCGCAGGCGGUCUAUUAAGUCAGAGGUGAAAUCUUGCAGCUCAACUGUAAAAUUGCCUUUGAUACUGGUAGACUUGAGUCAUUGUGAAGUGGUUAGAAUGUGUGGUGUAGCGGUGAAAUGCAUAGAUAUCACACAGAAUACCAAUUGCGAAGGCAGAUCACUAACAAUGUACUGACGCUCAUGGACGAAAGCGUGGGGAGCGAACAGGAUUAGAUACCCUGGUAGUCCACGCCGUAAACGAUGGAUACUAACUGUUCGACCUUCGGGUUGAGUGGUUAAGCGAAAGUGAUAAGUAUCCCACCUGGGGAGUACGCUCGCAAGAGUGAAACUCAAAGGAAUUGACGG
rnacentral:rRNA from 1 species